rnacentral:rRNA from 1 species
GACGAACGCUGGCGGCGUGCUUAACACAUGCAAGUCGAACGGAAAGGCCCUGCUUUUGUGGGGUGCUCGAGUGGCGAACGGGUGAGUAACACGUGAGUAACCUGCCCUUGACUUUGGGAUAACUUCAGGAAACUGGGGCUAAUACCGGAUAGGAGCUCCUGCUGCAUGGUGGGGGUUGGAAAGUUUCGGCGGUUGGGGAUGGACUCGCGGCUUAUCAGCUUGUUGGUGGGGUAGUGGCUUACCAAGGCUUUGACGGGUAGCCGGCCUGAGAGGGUGACCGGCCACAUUGGGACUGAGAUACGGCCCAGACUCCUACGGGAGGCAGCAGUGGGGAAUAUUGCACAAUGGGCGGAAGCCUGAUGCAGCAACGCCGCGUGCGGGACGACGGCCUUCGGGUUGUAAACCGCUUUCGCCUGUGACGAAGCGUGAGUGACGGUAAUGGGUAAAGAAGCACCGGCUAACUACGUG